rnacentral:rRNA from 2 species
CAUCGCCUCUAGAUAAUAGUAUUAGAGGUCCAUCCUGCCCAGUGACAAAAGUUAAACGGCCGCGGUACCCUGACCGUGCUAAGGUAGCAUAAUCAUUUGCCUUUUAAUUGGAGGCUAGAAUGAACGGACACACGAGAAUAAGGCUGUCCCAUUAGUACAACUGUAACUUGACCUUUAGGUGAAGAGGCCUAAAUAUAAUAAAAAGACGAAAAGACCCUUUGGCGCUUUACUUCCAUUCGCUUAGAUGUAAAUUAAAUACACCUAAGCUUAGAGAGUUUAGUUGGGGCGACUUGGGGUUAGAAUAAAGCACCCCCUUUAUUAAAGGAAAUAGUCCUUCAAACUUGAUCCACUUGUGUGAAUAAAGAACAAGCCACCCUAGGGAUAACAGGCUAAUCUUCCUCACGAGUCCAUAUUAACAGGAAGGGUUGGCACCUCGAUGUUGGCUUAAGGCUUCUCCAAGGUGCAGCCGCUUUGGUAGUAGGUUUGUUCAACCUUUAAUGCCUUACGUGA